rnacentral:tRNA from 1 species
AGCAUGUUAGCACAGUGGAAGAGCGCCGGGCUCAUAACCCGGAGGUAUGUUUCACCCCCAAAUCAGUUACAAGGACAUCAAACUGACUCUCAAUAGGACCCUGGAUCGAAACCAGGACAUGCUA